UGUCCUGGUACUGUGAGGCAGCAGUACUAACCACUGAGCCACCAUAUUAAGGAUCUAAUCUACUUCUGAUUUCCUCACAUAGGUUCAAUUGGAGCAUGACCAAUAGCAAGGCUCAUCAUUGCUGCUCCUGCGGUGAGUUGUCGACAACAUUGCAAAAAGGAACUCAGUGGACUCCAAUUAGGAGAAACCUUCAAGAAACAACCUGAAAUUAACAUUUAUCUGAUUUCUGGUAAAACCUGGAUUUUGGCAAUAUCAUGGAGACUGGAAUAUCCGAAAUUGUGAAACAAAACAUGGAUCCCCAAGUGUCCAUAUUACAGAGGAGGAGGUGUUGGGAAUCUUAUAAUGCAUUAAGAUGGAUAAAUGCCCAAGACCUGAUCAGGUUUAUCCCAGGGAAGUGAUGACUGGGACCCUUGCUGAGAUACUUGUAUCACCGAUAGCCAUGGCAGCAACAACAAAAACAGCGGAAAUGAAACAUUGGAGGACCGUUUAUUUUGUGCACUCUGAAGGCUUCAUGAGCCACAGGUGAGAAACUGGCCAUUUUGACCCCAGAAUGUGAGAAAGCACCAUUUUCGGAAUAGAAGUGUGGAAAAUCCUGACAGUAAGAAAUCCUCUGCUAAGGAAAUCAGGAGACUAAAGAUGCCUCCAAAUGAGAUAAUGGCUGAGCAGGAGCAACAUCUUCUGCAAUGAUCAUCUAAUAGAUAAAAAGGAGCCCUGCCGAAGACAGACUUUGCAGAUGUCAUAAGGUCUGGAACAGAAUCAAAGUCAAUGGUUUUCAAGCCAAAGACCAAACAUCCAAGUUGAAAGAGAAUGUGUUUUGAAAGAAUUAUGAAACCUGCAUACCAACUGAAUUGGUGAAAUUAGAGAUUUUUGGUAAAGAGGGGAAUUGGGAAGGUGAUGUAGUAAAUGUAAAUAUAUGCAAAUGCAUGAAAUCUCAG